UACGUAGGGGGCGAGCGUUGUCCGGAGUUACUGGGCGUAAAGGGCGUGCAGGCGGUGCGGUAAGUUUAGCGUGACAGUCUCCGGCUUAACUGGAGAAGGCCGCUGAAAACUGCUGGACUUGAGGGCCAGAGAGGGACAUAGAAUUCCGGGUGGAGUGGUGAAAUGCGUAGAUAUCCGGAGGAAUACCAAAGGCGAAGGCAGUGUCCUGGCGUGGCAACUGACGCUGAGGCGCGAAAGCUAGGGGAGCGAACAGG
rnacentral:rRNA from 1 species